GUGGGAAGAGAUGAAAAAUACCUGCCACCAUGAGUCAGAAGUUAGAGCCAGAACAGCAGGUCAGAUGGCAGAAACACAGGCAGAAGGAGGCGAGUGUGAGGGGCAGUUUUCCUGCACAAUCCCUCUUCUUCUCUCAUCUGCUAAGAUGUGGGACAUCCCUUUCACCUUCUGCCAUGAUUGUGAGGUCUCCCCAACUACGUGGAACAGUUAUACAAGCUUGGCACAAACAUCUAUUUGGUUUCUGGAGAGACCUCAAGAAGCUGACAAUCAAGGCAGAAGGCAAAGAGGAGCCAGUGCAUCACAUGGGGAAUAUGCACCUAUGUCUGCUGAUGGUGUUGGAUUGGAGGCCUCUGCAGUAUCCUAUCAGAAAAACAUGGGAGACAUCAAGGAAACCAAGAAAACUCACCUUCAUAUUGUUCCUCAAAUCGCAAGAGCUAUGGGAAGAUGCCUUAUUUUUACCUUUGAGAAAUUUUGUAUCUUUGCUGUAUUAUGUCCAAAGACCUGGGAGAAAUGGGCUACUGCAUCUUGGAAGAACCAGAAGUCUCAAGUUAUUUAAUUUUCAUUCUAUAUUUAGAUGGACUCAACACACAGCUUUUCAUAUUUGAUUUCUAUUCUAUUUUUAGCUAGACUUUUUCCUCAGACUUCUCAAUCUGCUUCAUUCCAAGUUGGGGAGUAAAAGUGAGGUUUUUACAAUUUUUGCCACCAUCUCUUCUAGCAAGAACUGGAUCCAGCGGCGUGUUGGUAAAUCAAUUCUCAGGGAAAAAAAAAGUCUUGAUUUGCAGUGCUAUGAUUCGUGUAGUGUAAACACUGCCAUCAUGGUUGAUGUCAAGCUCCAACAUGAUAUCACCGAAUGUGAAGUUGGGAAGAGCUGUACACAAAGGGCUGUCAUGAGCCAGUAUGAACUGGCUCCAGGAAACCACUAGCUCUGUGUCAUUUUAUGAACUCUUCUAUUUCUAUUUCUGGAGGAAACUUUCCAAUGUGUUGGGUGAUCUAUAAUUAUGAUAUAAAGUUGCAAGCUUCCUUUUAUAACAAUAUAUAGAAAAUGUUACACAUUUUUAGCAGCAGUAUCUCCAAUCUGAGAAAAGACCUGCAUUUGGUGGGUUAAUGCUUUAAUAAACUGCUUGGAAUAGGGAAUUAGAACUUGGAG
rnacentral:lncRNA from 13 species